CUUUGCAUUCAAAAUCUCGUUCGUCUCCUCUGUUAUCUGUUUGCCUUGUUCUCGUGGGAGCAUGCCUUCUCAUUGGUUAUGUUUACAGUGGUCCAGGUAUGUUCAAAAGUAUCAG